rnacentral:rRNA from 1 species
UACGUAGGGGGCUAGCGUUGUCCGGAAUCAUUGGGCGUAAAGAGCGUGUAGGCGGCCCGGUAAGUCCGCUGUGAAAGUCGGGGGCUCAACCCUCGAAUGCCGGUGGAUACUGUCGGGCUAGAGUGCGGAAGAGGCGAGUGGAAUUCCUGGUGUAGCGGUGAAAUGCGCAGAUAUCAGGAGGAAUACCCAUAGCGAAGGCAGCUCGCUGGGACGGUACUGACGCUGAGGCGCGAAAGCGUGGGGAGCGAACAGG